CCUACGGGAGGCAGCAGUGGGGAAUCUUGCGCAAUGGGCGAAAGCCUGACGCAGCCAUGCCGCGUGUAUGAUGAAGGUCUUAGGAUUGUAAAAUACUUUCACCGGUGAAGAUAAUGACUGUAGCCGGAGAAGAAGCCCCGGCUAACUUCGUGCCAGCAGCCGCGGUAAUACGAAGGGGGCUAGCGUUGCUCGGAAUUACUGGGCGUAAAGGGAGCGUAGGCGGACAUUUAAGUCAGAGGUGAAAUCCCGGAGCUUAACUUCGGAACUGCCUUUGAUACUGGGUGUCUUGAGUGUGAGAGAGGUAUGUGGAACUCCGAGUGUAGAGGUGAAAUUCGUAGAUAUUCGGAAGAACACCAGUGGCGAAGGCGACAUACUGGCUCAUUACUGACGCUGAGGCUCGAAAGCGUGGGGAGCAAACAGGAUUAGAUACCCUGGUAGUCCACGCCGUAAACGAUGAUUGCUAGUUGUCGGGUAAGCUUGCUUCUCGGUGACGCAGCUAACGCAUUAAGCAAUCCGCCUGGGGAGUACGGUCGCAAGAUUAAAACUCAAAUGAAUUGACGG
rnacentral:rRNA from 1 species